rnacentral:rRNA from 1 species
UACGAAGGAUGCAAGCGUUAUCCGGAUUUAUUGGGUUUAAAGGGAGCGUAGGCGGUCUUAUAAGUCAGUGGUGAAAUCUCGUUGCUUAACAACGGACCGUGCCAUUGAUACUGUAGGACUUGAGUACAGUUGCCGUUGGCGGAAUGUGUCAUGUAGCGGUGAAAUGCAUAGAUAUGACACAGAACACCGAUUGCGAAGGCAGCUGACGAAACUGUAACUGACGCUGAGGCUCGAAAGCGUGGGGAUCAAACAGG